GGGACUUUAAACAUGGACACCGC
rnacentral:piRNA from 1 species